GCUUCUGGGAUAGCUCAGUUGGUAAGAUCAUGAGAUUCUUGAUCUCAGGGUUGUGUGUUCAAGCUCCACCUUGGGCA